UCAGUUGCACAUAUGAUGAAUGAGAUAAACAAGGUAUUAAGAGACUUCAUUUCUGAAAAAACUAUGUCUUUUUUAGAUGAUGUUUCUAUCAAAGGAUGUAAAGAAGGAGAAAAAGAUGAAACUUUAGAUGAGAAAGGGUGUCGCAAAUAUGUUGUUGAUCAUAUACAAGAUUGUGAAAAGAUUUUAACUCGACUUGAAGAGGUUCAUCU
rnacentral:lncRNA from 1 species